rnacentral:misc_RNA from 1 species
GGUGGGAGCGGGCUUGCUCGCGAUGCAGGCGACGCGGUCUGUCAGGAAAAUCACAGUGAUGCCAUCGCGAGCAAGCCCGCUCCCACA